rnacentral:lncRNA from 7 species
GUGAAUGUUUUCCUCUGAGAAUAGGCCAAACUCAGAGAAAAGUCAGAAAGCGAAGUGGGGAUGAAAGUCGGAGCAGAGGAUUCAUAUUUUAAAAUUGCUCACAUACUAUGAAUGAAUUCAGACUGUUCUGCCUUCAAAAGACACUGAAGAAGACUUGACAUGGGAUCUGGAGGAGCAGGAUAUCUGUGAUUAGAUUGGUCCCCCAGGGUCUUCCAGCAUUCAGCUUUUGAGAGCAGUCUAGCUGGAGCACUUCAAAUGGGUGACUGCUUCUGAAAGUUGUUCCCCUCGUGAAAAAAACAGGCUGGUACAAAUAUGAUUGCCCUUCUACGGAGCGGUUUGGAAGAUGAGACCUUCACUUUAACACAGGACUUGCUCAAGAGGAGAUAAAGUGACUGCAGACUCCUCCAGGUCUCUAAUGCAAUUGGUUUUCAAAAGCCCUCCUCCUCCUCACACCCCUUGAUGGGGUUAAACACCUCUGUGGAGACUGAAGGGAGGAAUGUUUUUAAUCUCCUUGAUUUAUUAAAAUCGUCUAAAGAUAGCCAGCUGUAACAGAUAAAACUGCUGCCCUCUGCACUUUAGAAGGAUCCUCCCCAAAACUGUUCUGCACGGAAAGUACUGGCAGUGGCUUAGUGACCUCUGGGAUGUGGUGGUACCUGCCUACCCAUUGAUGGCCAAAUCCAGCCCUGGCCAACUUUCAGCAGGGCUGCCUUCUGGCUCUCACAUUCCCCCAUCACUUUGCUCAUGGAGAUCUCAAUGGGGUUGGGCACCGAGCUUGCUGGGAAAACUGCUCCCAGGAGGAUUUCAAGCUUUGGGUGAUAACGUCAAGAGGAAGGAAGGGAGAAGGUUCUGGGAAAGUGAGACAAAGCAGGGGAAGGAUUUUCCCUGAAGGGAUUUUGUACUUUUGGCUUCUCACACCUCAAAAUCCUGCAAAGGGCUGGAGAUGAAAGGAUGUCUCAGGGGAGAACUAAGGCCUGGAUUAAAACUCUGAAAAUUUGUCUUCUACCUUUUCCCACAUGCUCAAAUUAUUGUACUUGUGUGUGUGCACUCUUCUGGGGUCUCUUCAUGAAGAUUCCGUUCUCUGAUACCAUUAGCUUUUAAUCAUCACAGAACCAUAGAAUCACUUCCCCUCCCAUCUGCACUCUCAGGACCAUCAGAUGAGCUCUGGCCAACACAAUGCUGCAGAACCCCUUAUUUCAAGCUUUCUGUGGGAUAAGCUGAAAGCAGCACCUGGAUUCCUACCGCACACCUCCCCUGUGGGUAACAAAUGGCUGUGUCAGGGCAGAGUGGAACUGUUUGCCCUCCAGGCCAAGCCAGGGCUCUGCAGGACGUGACAGCUUUGAUUUGUGUCUGAGCAGGACUCAACAGAGACAAAAGGCAGUUUGAAGAAUAAUGGAAUGGACGUGGCAGGCAGAACCAGCAGCUCUCUUAUCAGCUGGGGGAGGCAGAGCAGAUCUGAGGAGUGGAACAGACCAGGUACCAGGAACCAGAUCUUAGGGUUGCAUUCCUUACAUACAUGGAAUUUCCUGAAGUCCCCACUAAGUUCUCUUUGUAAAUUGAAAAUCUCAAAUCUGC